UUCAAAGCCAUUUUGAAAACAAGUGCUCAACGUUUUGGGGGAGAAUUUUUAUUGAUUAGCUGCCAUGAAAUCACUCAUCAUACUUCUGGUAAGCUGCCAUCUGAAGAGGCAUGAAAAAGUUCCGUGGUGUCUGCUGAGUGUUCUCGGUUAAUCCAGUCCAAAUUAUUAAGCCUUCAUAAUCCUCCAAGACACGUAAUCAGAUAAGACUGCAACUGAUUUGAAGAAAUCCUUAAUUGCAGAAAUCAUCAAGCCUUGGUUGAGCAAUUGGUGUGGUAACUGCUCAAUGCAGCCCUCCUGCUGAAAUGAGGAUCCUGCUGAAAGAACCGGCUCUUCUGCUGGGCGAGAUGAAAGCGUUCAUCUUCUCCGGAGAACACACGAAGUCCUCACCUUGCAAGCAGAGACCAGGCCCUCCCCAGACACUGAGCUUGGUGGCACUUGGAUUUUGGACUUCCAGCCUCCAAAAUUGUGAGAACCUAUUCAUUGACCUGCUCAAGUAACAUAUCUCUCCAGCCAAAUUUUAAGUAACCACCUUCCUUUAUUACUGUUAUGGAAAUAAAAUACUUUAAGAAACAGAAGCUUUGGGAGGCCAAAGUGGGCAGAUCAAUUGAGGUCAAGAGUUCAAGACCAGCCUAGCCAACAUGGUGAAACCAUGUCUCUGCUAAAAAUACAAAAAUUAGCCUGGCGUGGUGACUCAGCCCCUGUAAUCCCAGCUACUCUGGAGGCCUGGGCACGCAGGAGAAUCACUUGAACCUGGGAGGAAAAGGUUGCAGUAAGCUGAGAUCACACCACUGCUCUCCAGCCUGGGAAACACAGUAAGAGUUUGUCUUAAAAUAAAAUAAAAUAAAAUAAAUGGAAAAUUUCUUUUGCUGCAUUUAACAAUAAAAUGAUAAGAAAACAGGUAACCCUCGCUGC
rnacentral:lncRNA from 1 species